CCUACGGGGGGCAGCAGUGAGGAAUAUUGGUCAAUGGGCGCGAGCCUGAACCAGCCAAGUAGCGUGAAGGAUGACUGCCCUACGGGUUGUAAACUUCUUUUAUAAAGGAAUAAAGUGAGGCACGUGUGCCUUUUUGUAUGUACUUUAUGAAUAAGGAUCGGCUAACUCCGUGCCAGCAGCCGCGGUAAUACGGAGGAUCCGAGCGUUAUCCGGAUUUAUUGGGUUUAAAGGGAGCGUAGAUGGGUUGUUAAGUCAGUUGUGAAAGUUUGUGGUCCAACCGUAAAAUUGCAAUUGAUACUGGCAGCCUUGAGUACAGUUGAGGUAGGCGGAAUUCGUGGUGUAGCGGUGAAAUGCUUAGAUAUCACGAAGAACUCCGAUUGCGAAGGCAGCUUACGAAACUGCCACUGACAUUGAUGCUCGAAAGUGUGGGUAUCAAACAGGAUUAGAUACCCCGGUAGUC
rnacentral:rRNA from 1 species